rnacentral:rRNA from 1 species
UACGGAGGGUGCAAGCGUUACUCGGAAUCACUGGGCGUAAAGAGCGCGUAGGCGGGAUAGCAAGUCAGAUGUGAAAUCCUAUGGCUUAACCAUAGAACUGCAUUUGAAACUGGCAGUCUUGAGUACAGUAGAGGUGGGCGGAAUUCGUGGUGUAGCGGUGAAAUGCUUAGAUAUCACGAAGAACUCCGAUUGCGAAGGCAGCUCACUGGACUGCAACUGACACUGAGGCUCGAAAGUGUGGGUAUCAAACAGG